CCAAUCAAAUUGAUCCAUUUAGUCAGGCUCCCCCCUCCCCUGUUUUACCAAUGGCCUGACAUGUCAUGGAAGGUAUGGAUUUUAGCCUUGCGAGAAGCCCAUCUCUUCUAAAUAUGAGUUAGUCUGGAGCAAAAGGCUAUUAGAUAGGAAAUGUGCAUAAUUACCAGUGGAAUGGAAGGAUUUAUGGUCUGAUCCUGCCAGCCGCAAGAUAUCCUCAACACUAAUAAACUAAAGGGAGCUGAGGGCACUCAGCACUGUGCAGCUGCAGCACUUCCCUCUUGAGUUUCUCUCCUGGUGUGCCUUUUCAUUUUCAGAGAGCAGCUGCGAACAACAUACAGGUAUAAAAAAAACAAACACCAAAUACACCACACACACCCUGGAAGCAUCUCCAUUUUGCUUUGUUCCCAUUCUGAUCUCUGGACUGACACUAAAAGGAGCGUUCCAACCAAUAGACUGAGGACCAUCCAAUCUUUUGGAAGUUAGAGACUUUACAAGCCAGCAGUUGAUUCCAUCAGUGCUACAGACCUGACCCUGACCCAAGAUCUUGGAAAUGUAAUUUUAGGGUGCGCUUGCUUCCUGAUCUGGACAAGAACUGGCUGAAAUAUUUGGGAGUACAUGAGGCUGAAGCAUGCUUAGGAUGGGAGAGACAUUUUAACAAGCCUUAGAGGGUCAAACAAUCAUACAAGUUAAGGGUGUUUCUUGCAUGACUUACACUGUAACUUCCCCUCUUAUUUCCUUGCAUUUGUUCUUGACUAUGAAUAUGCUUUCAUUCAUAAAUCCAUAAAACUUGUUUUUAUGAGACAUAUUUCCUAUCAGAGCUGCUUUACAUACUCUUUGCACUUGAAACAUAAAUGUUAAGAUGAAAUGUUUUUGACCUGCUUUUAUAGUUCCCUUUAAAAAUAGAUUAUAUAUAUAUCUACUU